GUUCAAUUCCUUUGAGAUGAAUAUGUUCAGUUGGAGGAAAGUGGAAUAUGAGUUUCUGCUUAUUUCAGAACUCUAAUUAAUCUAAACACUAAACCUAAUAUUAACAUGAUUUGUGUGUUUAAGUAGAUCGCUUUGUAUAUUUAGGGUCUAUUACAGGAUUUGUUACCAAUCACAGCACCUGUAGAUUGUCUACAAGCAGCUACCUAACUGAAGCACCCAUCAGGUCUCCACAGUUAGCCCUGAUUCUAAACCUGAUCAACAGUGGUGUUCAGCAGAGGAGCACCUAGACUUGCACUACUAGAGAACCAAUCAAAAGGCUCCCUGACCCUUUUCGUCCAGUGUCAGUUCCAUGAAACAUCCACAUGGAAGUUUGGCCCAAAUAGCUAAGGCCACUCGCAGCAGCACCUCUGAACCCUCAAAAAAGACAGAGUCCCAGAUCUUCAGCACAGUGUGGUGUGGCAGGCAGGUGGCGAACAUGGUGAGGAACCA